GUUAUAUGGUCAAGUGAAGAAGCGCAUACGGUGGAUGCCUUGGCAGUCAGAGGCGAUGAAAGACGUGGUAGCCUGCGAAAAGCUUCGGGGAGUCGGCAAACAGACUGUGAUCCGGAGAUGUCUGAAUGGGGGAACCCAGCCAUCAUAAGAUGGUUAUCUUGUACUGAAUACAUAGGUGCAAGAGGCGAACCAGGGGAACUGAAACAUCUAAGUACCCUGAGGAAAAGAAAUCAACCGAGAUUCCCUUAGUAGUGGCGAGCGAACGGGGACCAGCCCUUAAGUUGUAUUGAGAUUAGCGGAACGUUCUGGAAAGGACGGCCAUAGUGGGUGAUAGCCCUGUACGCGAAAAUCCCUUUGCAAUGAAAUCGAGUAGGACGGGGCACGAGAAACCUUGUCUGAAUAUGGGGGGACCAUCCUCCAAGGCUAAAUACUACUGACUGACCGAUAGUGAACCAGUACCGUGAGGGAAAGGCGAAAAGAACCGCGGAGAGCGGAGUGAAAUAGAUCCUGAAACCGUAUGCGUACAAGCAGUGGGAGCCCACUUUGUUGGGUGACUGCGUACCUUUUGUAUAAUGGGUCAGCGACUUAUUUUCAGUGGCGAGCUUAACCGAAUAGGGGAGGCGUAGCGAAAGCGAGUCUUAAUAGGGCGUCUAGUCGCUGGGAAUAGACCCGAAACCGGGCGAUCUAUCCAUGGGCAGGUUGAAGGUUGGGUAACACUAACUGGAGGACCGAACCGACUACCGUUGAAAAGUUAGCGGAUGACCUGUGGAUCGGAGUGAAAGGCUAAUCAAGCUCGGAGAUAGCUGGUUCUCCUCGAAAGCUAUUUAGGUAGCGCCUCAUGUAUCACUGUAGGGGGUAGAGCACUGUUUCGGCUAGGGGGUCAUCCCGACUUACCAAACCGAUGCAAACUCCGAAUACCUACAAGUGCCGAGCAUGGGAGACACACGGCGGGUGCUAACGUCCGUCGUGAAAAGGGAAACAACCCAGACCGUCAGCUAAGGUCCCAAAGUCAUGGUUAAGUGGGAAACGAUGUGGGAAGGCUUAGACAGCUAGGAGGUUGGCUUAGAAGCAGCCACCCUUUAAAGAAAGCGUAAUAGCUCACUAGUCGAGUCGGCCUGCGCGGAAGAUGUAACGGGGCUCAAACCAUGCACCGAAGCUACGGGUAUCAUCUUUUGAUGAUGCGGUAGAGGAGCGUUCUGUAAGCCUGUGAAGGUGAGUUGAGAAGCUUGCUGGAGGUAUCAGAAGUGCGAAUGCUGACAUGAGUAACGACAAUGGGUGUGAAAAACACCCACGCCGAAAGACCAAGGUUUCCUGCGCAACGUUAAUCGACGCAGGGUUAGUCGGUCCCUAAGGCGAGGCUGAAAAGCGUAGUCGAUGGAAAACAGGUUAAUAUUCCUGUACUUCUGGUUAUUGCGAUGGAGGGACGGAGAAGGCUAGGCCAGCCUGGCGUUGGUAGUCCAGGUUUAAGGUGGUAGGCUGAGAUCUUAGGUAAAUCCGGGAUCUUAAGGCCGAGAGCUGAUGACGAGUGUUCUUUUAGAACACGAAGUGGUUGAUGCCAUGCUUCCAAGAAAAGCUUCUAAGCUUCAGGUAACCAGGAACCGUACCCCAAACCGACACAGGUGGUUGGGUAGAGAAUACCAAGGCGCUUGAGAGAACUCGGGUGAAGGAACUAGGCAAAAUGGCACCGUAACUUCGGGAGAAGGUGCGCCGGUGGAGGUGAAGCAUUUACUGCGUAAGCCCCUGCCGGUCGAAGAUACCAGGCCGCUGCGACUGUUUAUUAAAAACACAGCACUCUGCAAACACGAAAGUGGACGUAUAGGGUGUGACGCCUGCCCGGUGCCGGAAGGUUAAUUGAUGGGGUUAGCGCAAGCGAAGCUCUUGAUCGAAGCCCCGGUAAACGGCGGCCGUAACUAUAACGGUCCUAAGGUAGCGAAAUUCCUUGUCGGGUAAGUUCCGACCUGCACGAAUGGCGUAACGAUGGCGGCGCUGUCUCCACCCGAGACUCAGUGAAAUUGAAAUCGCUGUGAAGAUGCAGUGUAUCCGCGGCUAGACGGAAAGACCCCGUGAACCUUUACUAUAGCUUUGCACUGGACUUUGAAUUUGCUUGUGUAGGAUAGGUGGGAGGCUUUGAAGCGUGGACGCCAGUUCGCGUGGAGCCAACCUUGAAAUACCACCCUGGCAACUUUGAGGUUCUAACUCAGGUCCGUUAUCCGGAUCGAGGACAGUGUAUGGUGGGUAGUUUGACUGGGGCGGUCUCCUCCUAAAGAGUAACGGAGGAGUACGAAGGUGCGCUCAGACCGGUCGGAAAUCGGUCGUAGAGUAUAAAGGCAAAAGCGCGCUUGACUGCGAGACAGACACGUCGAGCAGGUACGAAAGUAGGUCUUAGUGAUCCGGUGGUUCUGUAUGGAAGGGCCAUCGCUCAACGGAUAAAAGGUACUCCGGGGAUAACAGGCUGAUACCGCCCAAGAGUUCAUAUCGACGGCGGUGUUUGGCACCUCGAUGUCGGCUCAUCACAUCCUGGGGCUGAAGCCGGUCCCAAGGGUAUGGCUGUUCGCCAUUUAAAGUGGUACGCGAGCUGGGUUUAGAACGUCGUGAGACAGUUCGGUCCCUAUCUGCCGUGGACGUUUGAGAUUUGAGAGGGGCUGCUCCUAGUACGAGAGGACCGGAGUGGACGAACCUCUGGUGUUCCGGUUGUCACGCCAGUGGCAUUGCCGGGUAGCUAUGUUCGGAAAAGAUAACCGCUGAAAGCAUCUAAGCGGGAAACUUGCCUCAAGAUGAGAUCUCACUGGAACCUUGAGUUCCCUAAAGGGCCGUCGAAGACUACGACGUUGAUAGGUUGGGUGUGUAAGCGCUGUGAGGCGUUGAGCUAACCAAUACUAAUUGCCCGUGAGGCUUGACCAUAUAACACCCAAGCAAUU
rnacentral:rRNA from 1 species